ACGAACGCUGGCGGCAUGCCUAAUACAUGCAAGUCGAACGAUCCCUUCGGGGAUAGUGGCGCACGGGUGCGUAACGCGUGGGAAUCUGCCCUUGGGUUCGGAAUAACUUCGGGAAACUGAAGCUAAUACCGGAUGAUGACGAAAGUCCAAAGAUUUAUCGCCCAGGGAUGAGCCCGCGUAGGAUUAGCUAGUUGGUGGGGUAAAGGCUCACCAAGGCAACGAUCCUUAGCUGGUCUGAGAGGAUGAUCAGCCACACUGGGACUGAGACACGGCCCAGACUCCUACGGGAGGCAGCAGUAGGGAAUAUUGGACAAUGGGGGCAACCCUGAUCCAGCAAUGCCGCGUGAGUGAUGAAGGCCUUAGGGUUGUAAAGCUCUUUUACCCGAGAUGAUAAUGACAGUAGCGGGAGAAUAAGCUCCGGCUAACUCCGU
rnacentral:rRNA from 1 species